rnacentral:rRNA from 1 species
GACGAACGCUGGCGGCGUGCCUAAUACAUGCAAGUCGAACGCAGUGGGGACGGGUGAGUAACCCGUGGGUAACCUCCCAUCAGAGGGGAUAACACUUGGAAACAGGUGCUAAACCGAUACUGAUGGAUGGACCCGCGGUGCAUUAGCUAGUUGGUGAGGUACAGGCUCACCAAGGCCACGAUUCAUAGCCGACUGGUGAGGGUGAUCGGCCACACUGGGACUGAGACACGGCCCAGACUCCUACGGGAGGCAGCAGUAGUGAAUCGGCGGCAAUGGACGAAGUUCUGACCGAGCAACGCCGCGUGAGUGAAGAAGGUUUUCGGGUCGUAAAACUCUGUUGUUAGAGAAGCGGUAUCUAACCAGAAGGACGCGGCUAACUACGUGACGGCGGCCGCGGUAAUAC